CGUUAAUCGGAAUUACUGGGCGUAAAGCGUGCGCAGGCGGUUAUGCACGACAGAGGUGAAAUCCCCGGGCUCAACCUGGGAACUGCCUUUGUGACUGCAUGGCUAGAGUACGUUAGAGGGGGAUGGAAUUCCGCGUGUAGCAGUGAAAUGCGUAGAUAUGCGGAGGAACACCGAUGGCGAAGGCAAUCCCCUGGACCUGUACUGACGCUCAUGCACGAAAGCGUGGGGAGCAAACAGGAUUAGAUACCCUGGUAGUCCACGCCCUAAACGAUGUCAACUGGUUGUUGGGAGGGUUUCUUCUCAGUAACGUAGCUAACGCGUGAAGUUGACCGCCUGGGGAGUACGGCCGCAAGGUUGAAACUCAAA
rnacentral:rRNA from 1 species